UACGGGGGGGGCAAGCGUUGUUCGGAAUUACUGGGCGUAAAGGGCUCGUAGGCGGCCAACUAAGUCAGACGUGAAAUCCCCAGGCUCAACUCGGGAACUGCGUCCGAUACUGGCAGGCUUGAAUCCGGGAGAGGGAUGCGGAAUUCCAGGUGUAGCGGUGAAAUGCGUAGAUAUCUGGAGGAACACCGGUGGCGAAGGCGGCAUCCUGGACCGGCAUUGACGCUGAGGCGCGAAAGCCAGGGGAGCAAACGGG
rnacentral:rRNA from 1 species